UGGAUCCAGACUUUGAUUCUGGCUCAGGAUGAACGCUGGCGGCGUGCCUAAUACAUGCAAGUCGAACGCAUCACUUCGGUGAUGAGUGGCGAACGGGUGAGUAAAAGAUAAGGAACCUGUCCUUCACAGGGGGAUAACGAUCGGAAACGAACGCUAAGACCGCAUAGGUCAUUUGGUCGCAUGACCGAAUGAUUAAAUAUCCUACGGGAUAGGUAAAGGAGGGACUUAUCACGCAUUAGCUAGUUGGUGGGGCAACGGCCUACCAAGGCGACGAUGCGUAGCCGGCCUGAGAGGGCGGACGGCCACACUGGGACUGAGACACGGCCCAGACUCCUACGGGAGGCAGCAGUAGGGAAUUUUCGGCAAUGGGCGAAAGCCUGACCGAGCAACGCCGCGUGAACGAAGAAGGUCUUCGGAUCGUAAAGUUCUGUUAUCGAGGAAGAGCGAUGUAUAUAGGGAAUGAUAUACAAGAGACGGUACUCGAUGAGGAAGCCACGGCUAACUACGUGCCAGCAGCCGCGGUAAUACGUAGGUGGCGAGCGUUAUCCGGAAUUAUUGGGCGUAAAGAGGGAGCAGGCGGUCACGAGGGUCUAACGUUAAAAGGCAUCGGCUCAACCGAUGAAGGGCGAAGAAACCGGGUGACUAGAGUUCUAUAGAGGAUCGUGGAAUUCCAUGUGUAGCGGUGAAAUGCGUAGAUAUAUGGAGGAACACCAGUGGCGAAGGCGACGAUCUGGAUAGAAACAGACGCUGAGUCCCGAAAGCGUGGGGAGCAAAUAGGAUUAGAUACCCUAGUAGUCCACGCCGUAAACGAUGAGUACUAAGUGUUGGGAGUCAAAUCUCAGUGCUGUAGUUAACGCAAUAAGUACUCCGCCUGAGUAGUACGUUCGCAAGAAUGCAACUCAAAUGAAUUGACGGA
rnacentral:rRNA from 1 species